UCUUGCGCAAUGGGCGAAAGCCUGACGCAGCGACGCCGCGUGAGUGAAGAAGGCCUUCGGGUUGUAAAACUAUGUCCUCAGGGAAGAAGCAAGUGACGGUACCUGAGGCGCAAGCGCCGGCUACCUACGUGCCCGCAGCCGAUGUAAUACGUCGGUGGCAAGCGUUAUCCGGAAUUAUUGGGCGUAAAGCGCGCGCAGGCGGUUUCUUAAGUCUGAUGUGAAAGCCCACGGCUCAACCGUGGAGGGUCAUUGGAAACUGGGAAGCUUGAGUGCAGAAGAGGAGAGUGGAAUUCCAUGUGUAGCGGUGAAAUGCGUAGAGAUAUGGAGGAACACCAGUGGCGAAGGCGACUCUCUGGUCUGCAACUGACGCUGAGGCGCGAAAGCGUGGGGAGCGAACA
rnacentral:rRNA from 1 species